rnacentral:rRNA from 1 species
UGUGGUGGCCAUGGUGAGAGGGAAACACCCGGUCCCAUUCCGAACCCGGAAGUUAAGCCUCCCAACGCCGAUGGUACUGCAGGGGGAACCCUGUGGGAGACUAGGACGCCGCCACAC